rnacentral:rRNA from 1 species
GACGGGGGAUCCUAGCGUUGCUCGGAAUCAUUGGGCGUAAAGCGGGUGUAGGUGGCUUUGUAAGUCAGGUGUGAAAGCCCAGGGCUCAACCCUGGAAGUGCAUUUGAUACUGCGAAGCUUGAGUGUUGGAGAGGUCAUCGGAAUACCUGGUGUAGUGGUGAAAUACGUAGAUAUCAGGUGGAACACCAGUGGCGAAGGCGAGUCCCUGGACGACUCCUGACACUGAGGCACGAAAGCUAGGGGAGCAAACAGG